rnacentral:rRNA from 1 species
GAUGAACGCUGGCGGCGUGCCUAAUACAUGCAAGUCGAGCGAACGGACGAGAAGCUUGCUUCUCUGAUGUUAGCGGCGGACGGGUGAGUAACACGUGGAUAACCUACCUAUAAGACUGGGAUAACUUCGGGAAACCGGAGCUAAUACCGGAUAAUAUUUUGAACCGCAUGGUUCAAAAGUGAAAGACGGUCUUGCUGUCACUUAUAGAUGGAUCCGCGCUGCAUUAGCUAGUUGGUAAGGUAACGGCUUACCAAGGCAACGAUGCAUAGCUGACCUGAGAGGGUGAUAGGCCACACUGGAACUGAGACACGGUCCAGACUCCUACGGGAGGCAGCAGUAGGGAAUCUUCCGCAAUGGGCGAAAGCCUGACGGAGCAACGCCGCGUGAGUGAUGAAGGUCUUCGGAUCGUAAAACUCUGUUAUUAGGGAAGAACAUAUGUGUAAGUAACUGUGCACAUCUUGACGGUACCUAAUCAGAAAGCCACGGCUAACUACGUG